rnacentral:rRNA from 1 species
AGAGUUUGAUCCUGGCUCAGGACGAACGCUGGCGGCGUGCCUAAUACAUGCAAGUCGAACGAACUCUGGUAUUGAUUGGUGCUUGCAUCAUGAUUUACAUUUGAGUGAGUGGCGAACUGGUGAGUAACACGUGGGAAACCUGCCCAGAAGCGGGGGAUAACACCUGGAAACAGAUGCUAAUACCGCAUAACAACUUGGACCGCAUGGUCCGAGUUUGAAAGAUGGCUUCGGCUAUCACUUUUGGAUGGUCCCGCGGCGUAUUAGCUAGAUGGUGAGGUAACGGCUCACCAUGGCAAUGAUACGUAGCCGACCUGAGAGGGUAAUCGGCCACAUUGGGACUGAGACACGGCCCAAACUCCUACGGGAGGCAGCAGUAGGGAAUCUUCCACAAUGGACGAAAGUCUGAUGGAGCAACGCCGCGUGAGUGAAGAAGGGUUUCGGCUCGUAAAACUCUGUUGUUAAAGAAGAACAUAUCUGAGAGUAACUGUUCAGGUAUUGACGGUAUUUAACCAGAAAGCCACGGCUAACUACGUGCCAGCAGCCGCGGUAAUACGUAGGUGGCAAGCGUUGUCCGGAUUUAUUGGGCGUAAAGCGAGCGCAGGCGGUUUUUUAAGUCUGAUGUGAAAGCCUUCGGCUCAACCGAAGAAGUGCAUCGGAAACUGGGGAACUUGAGUGCAGAAGAGGACAGUGGAACUCCAUGUGUAGCGGUGAAAUGCGUAGAUAUAUGGAAGAACACCAGUGGCGAAGGCGGCUGUCUGGUCUGUAACUGACGCUGAGGCUCGAAAGUAUGGGUAGCAAACAGGAUUAGAUACCCUGGUAGUCCAUACCGUAAACGAUGAAUGCUAAGUGUUGGAGGGUUUCCGCCCUUCAGUGCUGCAGCUAACGCAUUAAGCAUUCCGCCUGGGGAGUACGGCCGCAAGGCUGAAACUCAAAGGAAUUGACGGGGGCCCGCACAAGCGGUGGAGCAUGUGGUUUAAUUCGAAGCUACGCGAAGAACCUUACCAGGUCUUGACAUACUAUGCAAAUCUAAGAGAUUAGACGUUCCCUUCGGGGACAUGGAUACAGGUGGUGCAUGGUUGUCGUCAGCUCGUGUCGUGAGAUGUUGGGUUAAGUCCCGCAACGAGCGCAACCCUUAUUAUCAGUUGCCAGCAUUAAGUUGGGCACUCUGGUGAGACUGCCGGUGACAAACCGGAGGAAGGUGGGGAUGACGUCAAAUCAUCAUGCCCCUUAUGACCUGGGCUACACACGUGCUACAAUGGAUGGUACAACGAGUUGCGAACUCGCGAGAGUAAGCUAAUCUCUUAAAGCCAUUCUCAGUUCGGAUUGUAGGCUGCAACUCGCCUACAUGAAGUCGGAAUCGCUAGUAAUCGCGGAUCAGCAUGCCGCGGUGAAUACGUUCCCGGGCCUUGUACACACCGCCCGUCACACCAUGAGAGUUUGUAACACCCAAAGUCGGUGGGGUAACCUUUUAGGAACCAGCCGCCUAAGGUGGGACAGAUGAUUAGGGUGAAGUCGUAACAAGGUAGCCGUAGGAGAACCUGCGGCUG